CACGUAGGGUGCGAGCGUUGUCCGGAAUUAUUGGGCGUAAAGAGCUCGUAGGCGGUGUGUCGCGUCGGCCGUGAAAACCUGCAGCUUAACUGUGGGCUUGCAGCCGAUACGGGCGGGCUAGAAUUCGGUAGGGGAGACUGGAAUUCCUGGUGUAGCGGUGAAAUGCGCAGAUAUCAGGAGGAACACCGGUGGCGAAGGCGGGUCUCUGGGCCGAUAUUGACGCUGAGGAGCGAAAGCGUGGGGAGCGAACAGG
rnacentral:rRNA from 1 species